UUUUGUAGCGAUGAGGUUUUAUUUUUGAUUGAUUUAUGUCCGUGAGCAGUGAGACCAGGCCGUUGCAACCUUUGAGGGAGAUUACAUGGCUCUGUGGCGGCGUGUGUGUUUAAUAUAAAAAUAUAAACCGAUUUCUGAGGUUGUGGCUUCAUUAUUAUUAUUAUUAUUAUUUACCUGUUUUGUGUAUUUGUUUUGUUCAGAGGGGAGAUAAAUUGUCCUGCGUUCAGGGUGAAAAUCUGCUUCACUCUGAACAGGCUGUUGGCUUUUUGGAAGUGAGUUUGAAUUUGUUGAUUUUUUUGAGCGUGUGGAUUAAAAUGUUACACAUGCGUCGGUGCUGAAAAGGAAUCCUGUACUUCCAUUGAGUCUUGCACUGAUGGGAUAAACGGUUGCUUCUCUACAAAAGUACCAAAUUURAACACAGUCACCAAGGGUUGCAAACUUCCCUUUAUGCCAUGUGGUGGUCUGUCUUCUUGCUGUGCAAUGGAGCCGUACCGACAGGUCCUGGCGUCUUCCUGCUGCUGAUGUCUUCAGCUCUCUUUAUGCUCUUCAUUUGAGGCCCUAAGUCAGUUCUGUUCUGCUUUAUUGUUUAGACUCAGUUUGUAUGACUGAAGAAUAAAUAAAAAAAAUGUUAACCUUU